rnacentral:rRNA from 2 species
GGACUACUGGGGUUUCUAAUCCUGUUUGAUCCCCACGCUUUCGUGCCUCAGUGUCAAUAAUUGUGUAGCAAGCUGCCUUCGCAAUUGGUGUUCUAUGUCAUAUCUAAGCAUUUCACCGCUACAUGACAUAUUCCGCUCACCUCCACAAUAUUCAAGACAGAUAGUAUCAAUGGCAGUUUUCGGGUUAAGCCCAAAGAUUUCACCACUGACUUACCUGCCCACCUACGCACCCUUUAAACCCAGUGAAUCCGGAUAACGCUUGCACCCUCCGUAUUACCGCGGCGGCUGGCAC